rnacentral:rRNA from 1 species
UGGGGAAUCUUGCACAAUGGGCGAAAGCCUGAUGCAGCGACGCCGCGUGGGGGAUGAAGGCCCUCGGGUUGUAAACCCCUUUCGGCAGGGAAGAAGCGAAAGUGACGGUACCUGCAGAAGAAGCCCCGGCUAACUACGUGCCAGCAGCCGCGGUAAGACGUAGGGGGCGAGCGUUGUCCGGAUUUAUUGGGCGUAAAGCGCGCGUAGGCGGCUCGCCAAGUCGGUUGUGAAAACCCGGGGCUCAACCCCGGGCCUGCGUCCGAUACUGGCGGGCUAGAGGCAGGUAGGGGAGAGUGGAAUUCCCGGUGUAGCGGUGAAAUGCGCAGAUAUCGGGAGGAACACCGGUGGCGAAGGCGGCUCUCUGGGCCUGUCCUGACGCUCAUGUGCGAAAGCUAGGGGAGCAAACAGG